AUUGAACGCUGGCGGCAGGCCUAACACAUGCACGUCGAACGAGUGGCGGACGGGUGAGUAAUGUCUGGGAAACUGCCUGACGGAGGGGGCUAACUACUGGAAACGGUAGCUAAUACCGCAUACCCUCGGAUGUGCCCAGAUGGGAUUAGCUAGUAGGUGGGGUAAUGGCUCACCUAGGCGACGAUCCCUAGCUGGUCUGAGAGGAGGACCAGCAACACUGGAACUGAGACACGGUCCAGACUCCUACGGGAGGCAGCAGUGGGGAACAUUGCACAAUGGGCGCAAGCCUGACGCAGCAAUGCCGAGUGUAUGAAGAAGGCCUUCGGGUUGUAAAGUACUUGCAGCGGGUAGGCGUUACCCGCAGAAGAAGCACCGGCUAACUCCGUGCCAGCCGCCGCGGUAAUAC
rnacentral:rRNA from 1 species